rnacentral:rRNA from 1 species
CCUACGGGAGGCAGCAGUGAGGAAUAUUGGUCAAUGGCCGUAAGGCUGAACCAGCCAAGUCGCGUGAAGGAAGAAGGAUCUAUGGAUUGUAAACUUCUUUUAUCGGGGAAUAAAGGUAUCCACGUGUGGAUAUUUGCAUGUACCCUAUGAAUAAGCAUCGGCUAACUCCGUGCCAGCAGCCGCGGUAAUACGGAGUAUGCGAGCGUUAUCCGGAUUUAUGGGGUUUAAAGGGUGCGGAGGUUGUUUUUUAAGUCAGCGGGGAAAGUUUGUGGCUCAACCAUAAACUGGCCGUUGAAACUGGAAGACUUGAGUGUGUUUGAGGUAGGCGGAAUGCGUGGUGUAGCGGUGAAAUGCAUAGAUAUCACGCAGAACUCCGAUUGCGAAGGCAGCUUACUAAGCCAUAACUGACACUGAAGCACGAAAGCGUGGGGAUCAAACAGGAUUAGAUACCCGUGUAGUC